UACGGAGGGUGCAAGCGUUGUCCGGAUUUAUUGGGUUUAAAGGGUGCGUAGGCGGCCUUUUAAGUCAGCGGUGAAAGUUUAGGGCUCAACCCUGAAAUUGCCGUUGAUACUGUAAGGCUUGAGUGUCGAUGGGGUACUUGGAAUUGAUGGUGUAGCGGUGAAAUGCAUAGAUACCAUCAGGAACACCGAUAGCGAAGGCAUGGUACUUAUCGACAACUGACGCUGAGGCACGAAAGCGUGGGUAGCGAACAGG
rnacentral:misc_RNA from 1 species